GAUGAACGCUGGCGGCGUGCCUAAUACAUGCAAGUCGAGCGAACAGACGAGGAGCUUGCUUCUCUGACGUUAGCGGCGGACGGGUGAGUAACACGUGGAUAACCUACCUAUAAGACUGGGAUAACUUCGGGAAACCGGAGCUAAUACCGGAUAAUAUUUUGAACCGCAUGGUUCAAUAGUGAAAGACGGUUUUGCUGUCACUUAUAGAUGGAUCCGCGCUGCAUUAGCUAGUUGGUAAGGUAACGGCUUACCAAGGCAACGAUGCGUAGCCGACCUGAGAGGGUGAUCGGCCACACUGGAACUGAGACACGGUCCAGACUCCUACGGGAGGCAGCAGUAGGGAAUCUUCCGCAAUGGGCGAAAGCCUGACGGAGCAACGCCGCGUGAGUGAUGAAGGUCUUCGGAUCGUAAAACUCUGUUAUUAGGGAAGAACAAAUGUGUAAGUAACUAUGCACGUCUUGACGGUACCUAAUCAGAAAGCCACGGCUAACUACGUG
rnacentral:rRNA from 1 species